rnacentral:lncRNA from 1 species
UUAGGGUACAACCUUUUGUAACUAUGCAUUGUUCUUUAAGACAUUUGGCUGCCCUUUGAAUACCUAGCAAGUACCAACAUGCUCCCACAGCCUGCAUGUUCGGGUUCAGAGUACGAAAGUCAAACUAAAGACGUACAUGUACGUAUGUGAAUUAUUCAAGUACUAUAGAUUUGAGAGUCAAAUUUUGUCUCAAUUUUGCAUGUUCGGGUUCAGAGUACGAAAGUCAAACUAAAGACGUACAUGUACGUAUGUGAAUUAUUCAAGUACUAUAGAUUUGAGAGUCAAAUUUUGUCUCAAUUUUGCAUGUUCGGGUUCAGAGUACGAAAGUCAAACUAAAGACGUACAUGUACGUAUGUGAAUUAUUCAAGUACUAUAGAUUUGAGAGUCAAAUUUUGUCUCAAUUUUGCAUGUUCGGGUUCAGAGUACGAAAGUCAAACUAAAGCACAUGUAUGUGAAUUU